rnacentral:misc_RNA from 1 species
GAUGAAGAACGCAGCGAAAUGCGAUAAGUAGUGUGAAUUGCAGAAUUCAGUGAAUCAUCGAAUCUUUGAACGCACAAUGCGCCCGCCAGUAUUCUGGCGGGCAUGCCUGUUCGAGCGUCAUUACAACCCUCAGGCCCCCGGGCCUGGCGUUGGGGAUCGGCGGAAGCCCCCUGCGGGCACAACGCCGUCCCCCAAAUACAGUGGCGGUCCCGCCGCAGCUUCCAUUGCGUAGUAGCUAACACCUCGCAACUGGAGAGCGGCGCGGCCACGCCGUAAAACACCCAACUUCUGAAUGUUGACCUCGAAUCAGGUAGGAAUACCCGCUGAACUUAAGCAUAUCAAUAAGCGGAGG